rnacentral:rRNA from 1 species
UACGGAGGGUGCAAGCGUUGUUCGGAAUUACUGGGCGUAAAGCGCGUGUAGGCGGUCUAAUAAGUCAGGUGUGAAAUCCCCCGGCUUAACCGGGGAAUUGCGCCUGAAACUGCUAGGCUUGAGUGUCGGAGAGGGAAGGGGAACUCCCGGUGUAGAGGUGAAAUUCGUAGAUAUCGGGAAGAACACCGGUGGCGAAGGCGCCUUCCUGGACGAUAACUGACGCUGGGACGCGAAAGCGUGGGGAGCAAACAGG